rnacentral:rRNA from 1 species
UACGUAGGGGGCAAGCGUUGUCCGGAUUUAUUGGGCGUAAAGAGCUCGUAGGUGGUUCGGUAAGUCGGAUGUGAAAUCUCCAGGCUCAACCUGGAGGGGUCAUUCGAUACUGCCGUGACUAGAGGUCGGUAGGGGAGUGUGGAAUUCCUGGUGGAGCGGUGAAAUGCGCAGAUAUCAGGAGGAACACCGGUGGCGAAGGCGGAUCUCUGGGCCUUACCUGACGCUGAGGCGCGAAAGCUAGGGGAGCGAACAGG